AGGGUUCGAUCUGGCUCAGGAUGAACGCUGGCGGCGUGCCUAAUACAUGCAAGUCGAACGAGGUAGCAAUACCGAGUGGCGAACGGGUGAGUAACACGUAGGUAACCUGCCUUACAGUUGGGAUACCCUGGCGAAAGCUAGGCUAAUACCGAAUAAUUGGAUUGGAGGCAUCUCCGAUCUCUAAAAGGGGCCCUUAAAGCCUCGCUGAAAGAUGGACCUGCGGCGCAUUAGCUAGUUGGUGAGAUAACAGCCCACCAAGGCGAGGAUGCGUAGCCGACCUGAGAGGGUGAACGGCCACACUGGAACUGAGACACGGUCCAGACUCCUACGGGAGGCAGCAGUAGGGAGUUUUCGGCAAUGGGGGAAACCCUGACCGAGCAACGCCGCGUGAAUGAAUGAAGGUCUUCGGAUUGUAAAGUUCUGUUAUAAGGGAAAAAUGAUAGGGUGAGGAAAUGCUCCCUAUUUGAUGGUACCUUAUUAGAAAGCCACGGCUAACUACGUGCCAGCCGCAGC
rnacentral:rRNA from 1 species